GGUGAGAAUGCAGGUUGUGGUGUAGCAGUGUUUGGACUGUUUCCGCCUUCAGGAAAUGAUGCCCACAGAGGAGCAAAGGAGGACUACAGGAGCUACAGAGCCCAAAGAGAGCAGCGUCCUGAUUGGCAGCAUCACCAAGUAUAAAAUGCACAGCUGGUCCAGGUCUAGGAUCAGCUUUUUGAGGAACUUCUGCAGUCUGUCGAGAGCCACAUUGGUAAUGGUGACGUGGAAGGCAGCAUUGGUCUUCAGGAAGGCAUCCAGGUGCUUGCUGCUUUUCAACUUGGGCAAGGAGCAGUUCAAUGGUGGCGCAAGAGACCUGACGAUGCCCUGCAGACUCAGAAGUGAUGUAGUCAAGACCACCUGAACCGAGAAAGUCAUUAUCAAGACCAGAGUGUAUUGUGACUGAGACAAGACCAAGACCAAGGUGGGUCAAGACCAAGUCAAGAUCGGAAACAGACUGCAAAAAACAACACACUAUACAAUAUAAAGCAUAGGCACAGUCUUGGGGCUUAAGCAACAUGGGCUAAAAUUUCUGUCACAGUAUAAUUUGCACCUUGGACAUUUUUUCUUAAUUUCAAUAUAAAUGCUUUUGGACAAAUGUAAAAUUUUCUUAAAUUUCUUAAAGCACCUUCCUGUUUGCCCUGUUUUGAGCCGCAUGCCAUCAAACAGACAAAACUUAUGUGAGUAAAUAUUGCAAAAAUAUCAAGUUGUAGUCUUCAUAAAAAAUAGAAUGCUGUAUUUUUUGGAAUUUCUAGUAUAUCUCCAGGCAAUUUGAGUGUUUUAUUAUACAUUCAUUUAUAAGCUUAUAAUAAAUAAAUUAUGAAAUAAAUAUUUUGGUAACACUUUCCAUGAAGCCCAUAUUCAUAAACACUAAUAAUUGUUCUUAUAAUUUAUUGUAACAUUCAUAAAGUAUUAUAUACACACGGCUGUAAAUAUUGGUAAAAAGGCAUUAUAACCAUGUUUAUCAUGCUUUGACUGCUGUAUGAAGGUCUCAUUAAUAAUGAAUUAUGAAUAAUGCAUAAUACACAUGACUAUAAUGUGUUAUGCCUUUUUAUGAAUAUAUGUAUUAUGUAGCUAUGUGUUAUAGCUGUCUUUAUAAAACAUUUAUAAUGUAUUAUAAUAUGUUAUGAAGAUAUGUGCAAAGAUAUAAUAACUGCUUAAAGUAAAUUACCAAUAUUUUUUUUCCAGAAGGGUCGCGUGUGGAUCAUUGCGGAAGCAAAUGUGUGCUUUGGUUUCCGUCUAAUGUGAAUAAUAUCGAUCUUUUAUGGAUUAUUAUGGCUGCUUUUUCAUUGAAAAUGUUUAAAAUAUAUGCCUCAUUAUG